rnacentral:rRNA from 1 species
AGCAGCCGCGGUAAUUCCAGCUCCAAUAGCGUAUAUUAAAGUUGUUGCAGUUAAAAGCUCGUAGUUGAAUUUCGGGAUCAGUAGGUUGGUCAUGCCUUUGGUAUGUACUGGUCUCACUGAUUCCUCCCUCUUGAAGAACUGUAAUGUCAUUAAUUUGGUGUUGCGGGGAAUCAGGACUGUUACUUUGAAAAAAUUAGAGUGUUUAAAAGCAGGCUUACGCUUGAAUACAUUAGCAUGGAAUAAUGAAAUAGGACGUUUGAUCCUAUUUUCGUUGGUUUUCUUAUGGAUUGACGUAAUGAUUAAUAGGGAUAGUUGGGGGCAUUAGUAUUCAAUUGUCAGAGGUGAAAUUCUUGGAUUUAUUGAAGACUAACUACUGCGAAAGCAUUUUGCCAAGGAUGUUUUCAUUAAUCAAGAACGAAAGUUAGGGGAUCGAAGACGAUCAGAUACCGUCGUAGUCUUAACCAUAAACUAUGCCGACUAGGGAUCGGAUGAUGUUAAUUUUUUUAAUGACUCAUUCGGC